AACAGAGUCGAUUGUGCUAAUGGAUGAAGAAGAGCUUAAGGAGUGGGUUGCGCAGGUCGUGCUUGGUCUUCUCUUUACUUUUGUUUUUAUGCCUGAGGGUGGGAACGAUCUCAUGCAAAUAUGUUUUAGGCAACAAGAUGAUGAACUGGAUGAGUUAAGUGCAAGUGUGCAAAGAAUUGGAGGUGUGGGGCUUACUAAACACGAGGAACUUACAGGACGCAGAGGAACUUGUUACUCCUAGUUUGAGUGAACUUUGCCCAUCUCCUUCUGAUGUAAAGGAACUGAGUCUUUGUACUCCUGGUUUGAGUAAUUAAACUUCGCCCAUCUUGUUAAAGGAUCUGUAAUUUUGUACCCCUUGAUUUGAGUUAAACAAGUAGACAGAAAUGUGUAAAUUCUAUUUGUUUCUGGUUCAGAAAUGAAUUUAAUUCAGUGAGCAA